rnacentral:rRNA from 1 species
UCGCUCAACGGAUAAAAGCUACCCUGGGGAUAACAGGCUUAUCUCCCCCAAGAGUCCACAUCGACGGGGAGGUUUGGCACCUCGAUGUCGGCUCAUCACAUCCUGGGGCUGUAGUAGGUCCCAAGGGUUGGGCUGUUCGCCCAUUAAAGUGGUACGCGAGCUGGGUUCAGAACGUCGUGAGACAGUUCGGUCCCUAUCCGUCGCAGGCGUAGGAAAUUUGAGAAGACCUGUCCUUAGUACGAGAGGACCGGGAUGGACGUAUCUCUGGUGUACCAGUUGUCCUGCCAAGGGCAUGGCUGGGUAGCUAUGUACGGAAUGGAUAAGCGCUGAAAGCAUCUAAGCGCGAAGCCAACUUCAAGAUAAGAUUUCCCACCGCAAGGGUAAGACCCCAGAAAGACUAUCUGGUUGAUAGGUCGAAGGUGUAAGUGCAGCAAUGUAUUUAGCUUAUCGAUACUAAUAGGUCGAGGACUUGACCAAU